rnacentral:rRNA from 1 species
AUUGAACGCUGGCGGCAGGCCUAACACAUGCAAGUCGAACGGAGAGGCGGACGGGUGAGUUAUGCCUAUUAAUCUGCCUGGUAGUGGGGGAUAACGACCGGAAACGGGCGCUAAUACCGCAUACUAUCAGAUGAGCCUAGGUCGGUUUAGAUAGGUGGUGGGGUAAAGGCCUACAAAGGCGACGAACCGUAACUGGUGUGAGAGGAUGAUCAGUCACACUGGAACUGAGACACGGUCCAGACUCCUACGGGAGGCAGCAGUGGGGAAUAUUGGACAAUGGGCGAAAGCCUGAUCCAGCCAUGCCGCGUGUGUGAAGAAGGUCUUCGGAUUGUAAAGCACUUUAAGUUGGGAGGCGUUACCAACAGAAUAAGCACCGGCUAACUUCGUGCCAGCAGCCGCGGUAAUUC